AUUGAACGCUGGCGGCGGGCCUAACACAUGCAAGUCGAGCGGAGCGGCGGACGGGUGAGUAAUUCCUAGGAAUCUGCCUGGUAGUGGGGGAUAACGUCCGGAAACGGGCGCUAAUCCCGCAUACUAUCAGAUGAGCCUAGGUCGGAUUAGCUCGUGGGUGGGGUAAAGGCCUACCAAGGCGACGAUCCGUAACUGGUCUGAGAGGAUGAUCAGUCAAACUGGAACUGAGACACGGUCCAGACUCCUACGGGAGGCAGCAGUGGGGAAGAGUGGACAAUGGGCGAAAGCCUGAUCCAGCCAUGCCGCGUGGGUGAAGAAGGUCUUCGGAUUGUAAAGCACUUGAAGUUGGGAGGCGUUACCAACAGAAGAAGCACCGGCUAACUUCGUGCCAGCAGCCGCGGUAAUUC
rnacentral:rRNA from 1 species